rnacentral:rRNA from 1 species
ACGAUGAUCUCCAGCUUGCUGGGGGGAUUAGUGGCGAACGGGUGAGUAACACGUGAGUAACCUGCCCUUGACUCUGGGAUAAGCCUGGGAAACUGGGUCUAAUACUGGAUACGACCUUCCCACGCAUGUGGUGUUGGUGGAAAGCUUUUGUGGUUUUGGAUGGACUCGCGGCCUAUCAGCUUGUUGGUGGGGUAAUGGCCUACCAAGGCGACGACGGGUAGCCGGCCUGAGAGGGUGGACGGCCACACUGGGACUGAGACACGGCCCAGACUCCUACGGGAGGCAGCAGUGGGGAAUAUUGCACAAUGGGCGCAAGCCUGAUGCAGCGACGCCGCGUGAGGGAUGAAGGCCUUCGGGUUGUAAACCUCUUUCAGUAGGGAAGAAGCGAAAGUGACGGUACCUGCAGAAGAAGCGCCGGCUAACUACGUGCCAGCAGCCGCGGUAAUACGUAGGGCGCAAGCGUUAUCCGGAAUUAUUGGGCGUAAAGAGCUCGUAGGCGGUUUGUCGCGUCUGCCGUGAAAGUCCGGGGCUUAACUCCGGAUCUGCGGUGGGUACGGGCAGACUUGAGUGAUGUAGGGGAGACUGGAAUUCCUGGUGUAGCGGUGAAAUGCGCAGAUAUCAGGAGGAACACCGAUGGCGAAGGCAGGUCUCUGGGCAUUAACUG